UACGGGGGGGAGCAAGCGUUGUUCGGAUUUACUGGGCGUAAAGGGCGGGUAGGCGGCCACCGCAAGUCAGUUGUGAAAUCUCUGGGCUUAACCCAGAAAGGUCAACUGAUACUGCGGGGCUAGAGUGCAGAAGGGGCAACUGGAAUUCUCGGUGUAGCGGUGAAAUGCGUAGAUAUCGAGAGGAACACCUGCGGCGAAGGCGGGUUGCUGGGCUGACACUGACGCUGAACUGCGAAAGCUAGGGGAGCAAACGGG
rnacentral:rRNA from 1 species